AUUGAACGCUGGCGGCAGGCCUAACACAUGCAAGUCGAACGAGCGGCGGACGGGUGAGUAAUGUCUGGGAAACUGCCUGAUGGAGGGGGAUAACUACUGGAAACGGUAGCUAAUACCGCAUACCAUCAGAUGUGCCCAGAUGGGCUUAGCUAGUGGGUGGGGUAACGGCUCACCUAGGCGACGAUCCCUAGCUGGUCUGAGAGGAUGACCAGCCACACUGGAACUGAGACACGGUCCAGACUCCGACGGGAGGCAGCAGUGGGGAAGAUUGCACAAUGGGCGCAAGCCUGAUGCAGCCAUGCCGCGUGUAUGAAGAAGGCUUUCGGGUUGUAAAGUACUUUCAGCGGGGAGGCGUUACCCGCAGAAGAAGCACCGGCUAACUCCGUGCCAGCAGCCGCGGUAAUUC
rnacentral:rRNA from 1 species